GUGGGGAAUAUUGGACAAUGGGCGAAAGUCUGAUCCAGCCAUGCCGCGUGUGUGAAGAAGGUCUUCGGAUUGUAAAGCACUUUAAGUUGGGAGGAAGGGCAGUAAGUUAAUACCUUGCUGUUUUGACGUUACCGACAGAAUAAGCACCGGCUAACUUCGUGCCAGCAGCCGCGGUAAUACGAAGGGUGCAAGCGUUAAUCGGAAUUACUGGGCGUAAAGCGCGCGUAGGUGGUUUUGUAAGUUGGAGGUGAAAUCCACGGGCUCAACCUGGGAACUGCCUCCAAAACUGCAUGACUAGAGUACGGUAGAGGGUAGUGGAAUUUCCUGUGUAGCGGUGAAAUGCGUAGAUAUAGGAAGGAACACCAGUGGCGAAGGCGACUACCUGGACUGAUACUGACACUGAGGUGCGAAAGCGUGGGGAGCAAACAGGAUUAGAAACCCUAGUAGUCC
rnacentral:rRNA from 1 species